rnacentral:rRNA from 1 species
GUCGUAACAAGGUUUCCGUAGGUGAACCUGCGGAAGGAUCAUUCGCACAUAAAUCCAAUCACAUUCCUGUGAACUUUUUGGUGAGGGUUUGUGCGAGAGGCUCACGCCUCAGCGCAAACGCUCAAGGGUGGUGGGGCGAGCUUCGGAACGUCCUCCGACUCGUUCUCACUGCCAGUCCCGCUGCAAAGCACGUCUGAUGUCAUCUUUUCACAUUUAUGUCGGUGGCUCUCUCGGGCCACGUCUACUCAUUCACAACUUUCAGCGAUGGAUGUCUCGGUUCGAUCAACGAUGAAGGGCGCAGCGAAGUGCGAUAAGCAUUGUGAAUUGCAGAAUUCCGUGAACCGACAGGGACUUGAACGCAUAUUGUGCUUUUGGGAUAUCCCUGAAAGCAUGCCUGCUUCAGUGUCUACGCUUUAUUGUUCCAGCAGCUGUAGUCCCUCACGGGGCAUGCUGCUCGUGAUCUCCUGCACCUCAGGACGUGCUCUCGGCGCUCUUGAGGUGUUCGAUGGACAAGGCUCUGCUUCGACAGCCAGCUUACUGAGCGCACUUCGGUGUCAUUUGGUUGCUGCGCGACGUUGUGGCUUGGGCUUUGCUCUCCUCUUUCCUGUGUCUCGCUCUUUGAGUGUGGCACAGCUUCAAGACAUGAAGUCAGGUUGGCAAACCCGCUGAAUUUAAGCAUAUAAGUAAGCGGAGGAAGAGAAACUAAAUAGGAUUCCCUUAGUAAUGGCGAAUGAACAGGGAUCAGCUCAGAGUGAAAAUCGGGGCCCUAGGCCUUGAAUUGUAGUCUCGAGAGGGGUUGCCAAUGGAGGCGCAGAUAUAAGCCUCUUGGAAAAGAGCAUCGGAGAGGGUGAGAGUCCCGUCUUGUGAUCUGCAGUCCUCUAUGUACGGCACUUCUUCUAUGAGUCACGUUCCUCGGGAUUGGAGCGCAAAGUGGGUGGUAGAUUUCAUCUAAAGCUAAAUAUAGGUUCGAGACCGAUAGCAAACAAGUACCAUGAGGGAAAGAUGAAAAGGACUUUGAAAAGAGAGUUAAAAGUGCCUGAAAUCGCUGAAAGGGAAGCGAAUGGACCCAGUCUGUCUCGGCAAGUUUUUCGCAGGCUAAGGUGAUGGCUCGGUGAAUCAGCGCAAGCGUUUCAUUGGGUUCUGAUCUUGACGCCUGUGUGUCACUUGCCUUGCAUGUCAACGUCUGUCCGAGGUUGAGGAAAACUCUUAACGGGUGGUAACUUAGCUGCGGCUGUGUGAGAUUCCGUUAAGUUGGACUCAUCCUUGAACAGAAGCUUGCGUGUGAGAGACUCGUGCUCUUCCGCGAUUCCUUGUUGCAUCUUUCGAAUCCUCGAUGGAUCCAGCUUGGGGUCAAGGGGGACGCGUUCUCACUCAAAGACGAUGACGAAAUGGUUUCAUCCGACCCGUCUUGAAACACGGACCAAGGAGUCUAACAUAUGUGCGAGUUCACGGGUGGUAAACCUGCCAGCGUAAUGAAAGUGACUGCUGGGAUAUUUGCACCAGCAACCGACCGAUCAAUCGAGUGAGGUUUGAGUAAGAGCAUAUCUGUUAGGACCCGAAAGAUGGUGAACUAUGCGUGAA